GAGCGUAGGGUGCAAGCGUUUGUCCGGAAGUUAUUGGGCGUAAAGAGCUCGUAGGUCGGUUUGUUGCGUCGGCUGAUCGAAAUCCCGAGGCUCAACCUCGGGUCUGCAGUCGAUAACGAGCAACUAGAGGUGUUGCAGGGAGACUGGAAUUCCUGGUGUAGCGGUGAAAUGCGCAGAUAUCAGGAGGAACACCGGUGGCGAAGGCGGGUCUCUGGGCAACAACUGACGCUGGAGGAGCGAAAGCGUGGGAGCGAACAGG
rnacentral:rRNA from 1 species